rnacentral:rRNA from 1 species
CCUACGGGAGGCAGCAGUCGAGAAUCAUUCACAAUGGGGGAAACCCUGAUGCAGCGACGCCGCGUGGGUGAAGAAGCGCCUCGGCGCGUAAAGCCCUGUCAGCAGGGAAGCAAAUGACGGUACCUGAAGAAGAAGCCCCGGCUAACUACGUACCAGCAGCCGCGGUAAUACGUAGGGGGCAAGCGGUAUCCGGAUUUACUGGGUGUAAAUGGGGCGCUGACGGCGCUGCAAGCCAGGAGUGAAAGCCCGGGGGCCAACCCCGGGACUGCUCUUGGAACUGCGUGGCUGGAGUGCAGGAGGGGCAGGCGGAAUGCCUGGUGUAGCGGUGAAAUGCGUAGAUAUCAGGAGGAACACCGGUGGCGAAGGCGGCCUGCUGGACUGCAACUGACGUUGAGGCCCGAAAGCGUGGGGAGCGAACAGGAUUAGAUACCCCAGUAGUC